CCCCCCCUUCCCCGGGCUGGGCGUCGGGGGCAGCAGCCCCCCCACUCCCCCCUCCACCUCGUCCCUCGAGAGCCCGCGGAACUGAGCCAGAUGCGCGCCCCCUCCCGCCCCCCUCCCAGAGGAUGUUCUGCGCUCAGCCUCCUUCGUGCAUCGCAGCGCAGAAUCCCAAGAAUGAGAAAGUCCAACCAGCCCACUGACAGAGGCCGGAAACACACACUUCCUCUUAUUUUUAAUUGAGAAAAAUCCAGGCCACGACCAUGUGACAUGCCCCAUUUUGUUUCCCUCCUCUCUUUACUACGGUUUACUACGACGCCGCGUUCCUUCAUCUUCCUGUCUGCAAACCCUCGAGCACGUGGUUGUAGGAUUGAUGGGGUUGGCUCAAGAUCCUAACAUUUACUAAUGGGAAGGAGGAGGAGGAGGAAAGAAAGAAAAGAAAAGAAAAAAAAAAAAAACCGGAGAAGGAAACACAAGCGCUGUGGCUGGCACUGUUUGGGGAUCAUUCAGGAAAAACUCAUUUGGCUGGAAAUUGUUUUAGGGUCAACACUAUAUAUGGCUGCAGUUUGCAAAGCGUGGAGCCAGAUAAGAUCAACAAAAACUGACCCUUCUAGGCCCUGGGGAGCUCACAGUGAGAUGAAAACGCCGGAUAUAGCUUGCAAAUCAUGAGAAUCUAGAGAUUCAUCGCAAGGGCCUGGGUAGGGUUUGGUAUUGAGGGUGGAGGAAACGCUGCUUAAGCUCUCAGAAUCGGAUUUGUGUUUUUGACCAGUGACAGCCCAAGUGAAAGCUCAUCGGGGCAGGCUGGGCUAACUUUCUGAAAGCUUGCUAGAUUUGUGUUGUGGCCCUCACGUCACCGACAUUAUGUGGGAUGGAAAGUUUGUUCCCAUUUUCCGUCCUAAAAUAAAGGAAAAUAAGAGAGGAAUUCAUGGAAGUGUUCCCCCUCCCCUCUCUAAGAAGUCUUUCUCACCAGCCAGUAUGCCUCAUGCAUCACUGAAUCAUAAGCCCCAAAGGCAGCAUUUUUUCCUGAGGGAUAAAUAUCAGGAAGAAGGACUGCCCUGGUGUGAAUGCUAUGCCUUCAUGCUGCUUCUGAGCUGAGGCAGAGAAUUUCUCUCUGUUGUUAGUGAAAAUUUGGAGCAUCUAAUAAUCUUAAUCCCUGCCGUUGUUUUAUGUUCAAAACUAAACCGAUAAUAAUUCCACAUACUGUCUUUUCUCUGAUUGAUCCCCAAAUAAAUACUAUCUAUAAUAUUGCCUACCGCAGUAAGGGACUUGGAAUUUAAAAGUUCAUGGCUUCCCUGCUUCCUGCAGUUUGGUUUAUUGUUUUGUCCCCCCCCCCCCCUUUCUUUUUUGGUUUAUCAAAACUCCUGGAAAAUGGCUUUAUGCUAUCUGAAAUGAUGCAAUGGAAACAGCAGCUCCUGGGAGCCAGAGAUCUUGAGUUGUAACACAGCUUGUGCCCUUCACUAGCUAAGUGACCUUGGGCAAGUCCCUUAAUUUCUCUGAACCUAUUUCCUCAUCAGUAACUUGAGAGCUUUGUUCUAAAUUAUUCUGACCUCCUUUGCAGCACUAAACAUAGGAAUAUUUUGGAGAGAAUGACUGAUAUUCUUUAAUGGGUCAGUUGUAAUGAGGAUUCUUUCUGAAGAAGCUGUUGAUGGGCUCAUAAUGAAGUGCUUUAGAAUGUUCUUUUUUGUCCUAUUCUAACUUUUGGAUCACUCUUUUGAUUCAGGACUUAUUUUAACCUUGGUGGUUUGGAGGGGAGCAGAUUUUAACAGACCUUAAGACCAACCCUCCAGACUGCAUAAGUCUAAAUUUUUGGAACCUUCUCUAGACUGAACUGGGCUCCUCCCCCUCCUUCCUUUUUAAAACAUCAAAUGUGUGUGGAAUGCAAGUCAACUGCUAGUGCCUUGCCUCCUAAGGUCAACUCUUGGAAGCAUCCCACCCUCCCAUACAGAUCAAACUUUAACCACUCCAUGUCUAUGACAUUAUUCUGUUUGUUCUAUUGGAAAUCAGCCCUUGGCCAGGUGGUCUUUUUAUGGAUAAUGUUUCUUGUUCGUACCCUCAGAAUCCUUCCUUCAGUGAGGUACAUCCACUUGAAUGAAUAGAAUGGAAAUCUGAGAGGCCAACUGAGGACUAUAGGAAGUCUUCCAUAAUUUUUUGUUGGUUUCAGUUUUCUCUGUCGGGUGUGGGGAAGAGCUCAUUAUUUCUCUUGCCCACAGCAUGACUGUUGUCUGGCCUUUAUGUGUUUUAGGAUUUUUGAUUCGUUAGUUGAGCUGUACGCUGCUUUGCUGACCUAGUAUUAUCUUGGCUGUCAAGUUGCCAGUGUAUUCAGAAGUUCUGACCCUUUGGGUACCUCUGUGUGGAUUGCAUAAAUCAUUAGAAUAGUCUAUUGACUCUUUCAUUCAGAACUUCAUUCACUUGACUCUUUUCCAAUCCUGCUACAACCAUAUAUAUCUCUUAGCUGUAUAGUAUAUAAAUGGUUCCUUUUAUUCUGGUGGGUUGGUGAUUUUAAGAUACUAGAACACGAUUGUAAGGUUUUGUUUUUUUUUAAAAAGUUAUUUUCUCAAUGAUUUCUUCAUGGUACAGAGUUACUGGAAAUUGUAUUCAAGGAAAAUAGUGUCUCAUGAGUUCAGUUUGGAGUCAGUUUUACACUAAAGAUGCUGUUACUUUCUUUACCACAUUUACAAUUAUAUUCUUGAUUUAUUAUUGAUUAUUCCUUGCCUUGUGAGUCCAUAGCUAUGCAGCAAACUCCAAAAAGCACUUUUAAAAAUGUUAUUAAAACACGUUUAGAAGUUGUAAGCACUUUUGAGUUUUAGUUUACCAGAAUUAUGUUCUAAUAUUUACGUGGUAUAAUAGUAUGCAAAUUUCUGACUAAUACGAAAUCGUUGCAAAAAAGUUCUUGUAAAACUUGUUUUAAAUCAUGGUCAGGAAAUGUCUACUUCUGUUCUUGUCUUACAUCGUGGAAAUGGUAACCUCCCCCCCAUUCCUGACUCCCAGAAAAAAAAGGAGAAGAUGGAUUAGAUGAGUAUAAGGUACUGUCAUCUAUGGGGAAAGGAACAUUUUCCCUCUAUAUAAUAUUCUUGCUACAGGCUCUGCUAUAAUCUAUUUGGUAAAAUAAAAUUGGUUAGAUAAAUGUUAUUUGUGCUUCCUCAAUGAGCCACUUAGCUUUGAAUAAUAGAGCUUUUAAAAAUGAUGUGUUUAUAUUGAAAAGGCUGCUUUUCUUUUUCAAGCCCCUUUCUGCAUUUUCAUUCAUGAUGGCAGUAGAAUUGAACGUGUAGGUCAGGCUAUAAUUUUAAUUGGAUCAUCCUAUUUACUUCAAGCAGAGUGGAAAUUUUGUGGUUUUAUAACCCCCACCCUGAAUGUUUUGUUGAGGAAUGUUUUACUAAGUAAGUAUUCACUGUUUUCCCUUUGCUCUUCCGUGUUUGUUCCUUUGCUCCCCACACCGUGUCACUUUCUGCCAUCUACCCCAGUCCUGUUUGAACCAAACCCACAUGCAUUGGAUACUAAUUGGUUGGGCUAAGGAAGAUGCCAGUAAACCCAAGUUCAUAAACUUUUCCCCCCUUGUUUUCUGUUGACCAAAAAAUACUUUGAUGCAAGUUCUCUGAUCUGCCCUGACAUAUUUAGGUCAUGUUGCUGAACAGUAUCACUUAAUCUUGAGAAAUUGAUAGUUGUGUUAUGUUUGUUGAAAUGAUUAAAGAAACAUUCUCCCUUUUUUUCUUUGAACAUAUAUAACGUGGCAAACAAAUUCUAUUUUGCACAGAA
rnacentral:lncRNA from 1 species